CAUUGUGCAUAACAUGGAGUCCACAGCUGCCCACAUUUAACAAACCAACAUUGUGAUUGGUGGAGCCUGCGAUUAACCGUUUGAUAAUGGUAGGCAGCGCCUACUGUACAAUCAAGUGUUUGUGAAUAGGUAUUAAGGUCCUUGGAUUUAUUAUGUACUCUGCACAGGUCCCCACCUUGCAAAUCCAUGUUCCAUGUGCUAUAUCAGUCUCCCAUGAUAGUGGCUGGAUUGAAACAGAAUAAAGGAUUACAAUUGAAA